rnacentral:misc_RNA from 1 species
GGUGCCUUUUUUUUUUAAUUCUUAAUUAUGAAAUUCACAUUUCUUGUAAAUUGUUUCUUUAACUUGCUAUUAGGAAAUUUAUGGUUUGGAACUAUUUAGCAACUUUUAUUUUCAUUAGAAAUUUUAUUAUUGAGAAUGUUGUUUGCUUCAAUUAGUGAAUAUUAAGCAUGUCCCUAUUUAAUAGUGGUAAUCCUUAGAUGAACUGAACAAGGAAAAGUAGUAAUAUCUAACCUAGUUAUUCUGUUAGGCUUUAAUUAAUGCAAUCUUG